rnacentral:ribozyme from 1 species
UGCCCAGCAACUUCUAUCCCAACCACCUCGUGGUACUGGCUGGGGUACGAGUAACCUUCACUGAAAUGA